rnacentral:rRNA from 1 species
UACGGGGGGGGCAAGCGUUGUUCGGAAUUACUGGGCGUAAAGGGUGCGUAGGCGGGUUAUUAAGUCAGAGGUGAAAUCCUGGAGCUCAACUCCAGAACUGCCUUUGAUACUGAUAGUCUUGAGUAUGGGAGAGGUGAGUGGAACUGCGAGUGUAGAGGUGAAAUUCGUAGAUAUUCGCAAGAACACCAGUGGCGAAGGCGGCUCACUGGCCCAUAACUGACGCUGAGGCACGAAAGCGUGGGGAGCAAACAGG